rnacentral:rRNA from 1 species
CUUAACACAUGCAAGUCAUUGGCGAAGCUGCGCUUGCGCAGUCUAGCCAGGCGGACGGGUGAGUAACGCGUAAGGAACUUGCCCUGCAGACAGGGAUAACAGACGGAAACGACUGAUAACACCUGGUACUGUCAGGCUGGCGCAUGCCGUCCUGAUGAAAGGAGACGCUGCAGGAGAGCCUUGCGUCCUAUUAGCUAGUUGGUGGGGUAACGGCCCACCAAGGCGAUGAUAGGUAGCCGGCCUGAGAGGGUGAACGGCCACAAGGGGACUGAGAUACGGCCCUUACUCCUACGGGAGGCAGCAGUGGGGAAUAUUGGACAAUGGGGGCAACCCUGAUCCAGCAAUUCUGUGUGCACGAAGAAGGUUUUCGGAUUGUAAAGUGCUUUCAGCAGGGAAGAAGAAAGUGACGGUACCUGCAGAAGAAGCGACGGCUAAAUACGUGCCAGCAGCCGCGGUAAUACGUAUGUCGCAAGCGUUAUCCGGAAUUAUUGGGCAUAAAGGGCAUCUAGGCGGCCCUGUAAGUCUAGGGUGAAAACCUGCGGCUCAACCGCAGGCCUGCCCCGGAAACUACAGGGCUAGAGUAUCGGAGAGGUGGACGGAACUGCACG